UACGGAGGGUGCAAGCGUUAAUCGGAAUUACUGGGCGUAAAGCGUGCGCAGGCGGUUUGUUAAGUCUGCUGUGAAAUCCCCGAGCUCAACUUGGGAAUUGCAGUGGAUACUGGCAGGCUGGAGUAUGGUAGAGGAAGGUGGAAUUCCCGGUGUAGCAGUGAAAUGCGUAGAGAUCGGGAGGAACACCAGUGGCGAAGGCGGCCUUCUGGACCAAUACUGACGCUCAUGCACGAAAGCGUAGGGAGCAAACAGG
rnacentral:rRNA from 1 species